rnacentral:tRNA from 1 species
UCGCCGACUGGUGCAAGGCGGCCGAGCUGCACGCCUCGUACGGGCACGAGGUGCCCGUCUUCACCUAUCCCCGCGGUCCCAUGCCGCGGCCGGCGGGC